CCUCAUCUCUGUUUCAGGUAUGAGGAACACUGCUAAUUACUUAGUAUCUACUACUCCAAUUGAAGUAGAUGAUGCUAGUUAUGGUAAUCUGGCCGGGAGAUUUAAGCAUAACAACAGAAAUAGAAUUAGAAGGGGGUCGAAAUCUCAAGGAGAGAAGGGCUUCGGUUUGAUUUCUUAUGCAGACAAAUGUUCAGAACAUGGUGGGUUUGGGGAUAGAGGUAAUACUGGUAAGCUAAGCAAUAUGACUCAGGGGAUUGGGAUAGAUGCCGAAAUUGUUCAAAAGCAUAUGAAAAAGGACAAUGUUCAUCCCAUAAUCCCUGCAUUUGGGGAAGAGGAUGUAGAUUUUGGGGAAAUUGUGUUACAAACUACCCCAAUUGCAAGAUACUUAGAUGUGAAAGGGGAAAGGUUGGAGGAUUUUUGUGAGGAAAAAAAUGUGAGACCCCUGAUAAUUUUUGGGGGCUCAGUUGGGAGAGAUUUAAACAUGGACUCUGGAGUGGGCCUACGGUGGUGGAGGCCUGUGGAGAUGGAGCCCGGCCCAACCCAACAAAAGGAAGGAGGCGUGGAGGAUAUAAAAGAGGGAGUGGAGGGGGUUGGGAAGCAACCUUUAGGGUUCCCCUCUCUCCCCCCCUCGCCGCCAUAAGAAGAAACCAUGUCAGGAAAUUUUGGUAGAGGGUUCGGAGCUCAGAGAUUCAACAGAGGAGGAGGAAAUGGAAACUUUGGAGGGAGAUUCAACAAUGCUGAGAAAGGAGAGAGAUGGAAUGGAGGGAGACAUGCCUUCCCAGGGAGAUCUGGUGCUUUUGGAAGAGGGGGGGGGACCGCUUUGGUCCUGUGAAGGAUAUGGGAAGGGAUUCAGAGGAGGAAGACCCUAGAUCUGAUAGGAACGAAGAGAAUUUGGUGUGGCAAGCUAAGGCAGGGAAAAAAGAUGAAGGGGGGAGACCCCAAGGAUGGCCGGUGGUGAUGUAGAAGGUGUUGUGAUGGAAAAUGAGAGAAGCAACAAUCAGGUAUCUCAGUCAGAUCAGCAGCAGCAGCAACUGCUGUUAACUUUGCUGCUCUCUCAGUUGGUUCAGGGGAUGCAAAACAGUGAGAAGACCCAGAUGGAAGGGAUGGUUGGAAAUCGAAUUAGUAAUAUACUUGGGAAAGAAAGUCACAGGAAAGAGGGAGGAGAUACUGAUGGGCAACAGAGAGGUAACAAGAUGGUUGAACAGGGGGUUGGAUUGGAAAUGAAGAAGCAAGGAGGUAAAAGUGGUUAGCAGCAAGGGUAUGAGGAGAACAAGAGAAAUUUUGACAGGUUUAACAAGCAGGUGUGUGGUAAGUGUAAAGACCCCAGACACACCACCAAGGAUUGCAGGGUGGGGCAUUGCUUGAUCUGUGGCAGAGAGAAUCAUAUUACAGGAGAGUGCAACUUACUGAAACAGGUUAAACCAGUCCCAAAAUAUGUAGGGUAUGCAGCUAAAGGGCUGGGGAUUCUUCUGGUUCAGAACUAUAAAGAUGUACUGAUAGCAGAGCAUACCAAUCCUUUGGGGGGGGGGGUGAUCAUAAGAGAAGGAAGCAUUAAUGAGACUGAACUUGUGAAGGCUAUGGAGGAAAUGUUUGAUUGGGGCUGGCAAUGGAGAGUGAGGGAUUUUGGAAAGAAUGGAUACAUGAUGAGAUUUUCCAAUAAGGCAAAGUUGGUGGAGUUGGCCAAGUUUAAUGACUUCAAACUGCUGGGGACAGGGGUGGUGAUCAAGGUUCAACCCUGGUCCCUUGAUCAUCAAGCUGUUGGGAAGAUGCACACCAUUUGGGUCAGGCUGGCCAAGGUUCCAGUUUGUUUUAGGCAUUUUUUGGGUGUUUGUGAGGUGGCUGCUGCAGUUGGACCUGUCCUGAAAAUUGAUAUGGAUACUAUAAAUGAGGAGAAAAUUAGAGCAAAGUGUGGGAUCAGAGAUGUAGAGAAAAUACCAACUCAAGUGGAAAUCACUUCCCCUGAUCUUCUUAUGUUUAGAAUUGGGGUGGAAACUGAGAAGGUGGUGAAGAUUGGCUGGUAUAAGGAAGAAAAGAGGAAAAAUGAUAGCAGCAAUUUCUCAGAAGGGGGAGAGGAUGAGAUUGACAAUAGGAAGAGGACUAGAAUGGAGGAGAAUGAACAUACAGGGGUUUCUCUGGGAUGCUUAUCCCUGAAACAAAGUGAGGAGGUGGAUAAAAGAAUUGAAGGAAUAAAAACUCAAAUGGAUGUAACCGUGUUGCAGUGGCAAAAGAAGAUGGCUUUGGAGAGAGGAAAAUGGCAAAAAGAAAGUGAAAUCAUGUUCAGCAAGAUUAUAACCUUGGAGGAAGACAGGAUUAGAAACAAUGCACUAUGGGCUAAAAAUGAAAACAGUAUCAGAGAACUAGAAAAAGUUCAGGCAGAGUUGCAGUAGAUUAGUAAAAAACAACUUGAAGAAAUUCAGAAACUGGCACAAGAGGCCGCAAAUAGAGAGGAGUAUGAAAUGGAGUUAGCUAAUAUGGACCUUGAAGAUUAUGAGAAAGAGACUCAACAGAAAAAGGAAGACACUGAGUCUGGGAAAUAUAAUGGGCCCACUGAUUAUAAUGCUAGCCAAGAAUCUAUUGGGACUCUAGGGGAGAAAAUGGCUGAAAUACAUGGAAGUGAGAUCCUAGAUAAAGAAGGGGAGGAGAAAGAUGUUGAAAUCAAGAGAAGCCUGAGAAACAAAGGAAGAGAAGACAAGAAGAUUGAGGAUAUGGCUAAAAGCAGAGCUGAGGAGAGGGACAAUUAUGGUAAGAAUUCUGAAUUGGCUUUUGCUGAUGCUUCCUUAUUACAUAUUAGUUCUCUAGUGAGGAUUGAUCUAGGGUGUUCAAUAGAGAUGAUUGAUAAAAAUAUUGAUAUUAUUAAUAAGAUGGAAAUAGCUAGGAGAGAGUUAUACUUUCAGAAUAUCAAAAAAGAAAAAAGUGAUAAAUCAGAGGAGAGAUGUGAAGAGAAUGACAAAAUUGAAAAGGAUGUCCUAGUAUAUAUUAAUACUGGAGACAUAACCCUUGAGGAAUUGUGUUCUGAUUAUGAACAUUCUGAUGUGGAUAUUGAGGAACAACAGAUCAAAAAACUAAGGGAAAUGUUCUCUGGAGGAAAAAGUGGUAGAAAACGCUCACUGGCACUUGACUGUGUGAAGCAAUCACUUGGGAUUGGAGUCCUUCGAAGAAGGAAAAAAGAUAGGAGAAUCUAAGUGAGAAUCUUCUCUGUGUUUGCAUUAGAUUUAGAAUUUUGGUCUUAUAAGGGUCACUUAUAGAACAAUGAGGGGAGUAUUUUGGAAUGUGAGAGGCAUUGGACAAGAUCACACGAAAAGAUACGUUAGAGAAAUGAUUAUAGAUCAGAAGCUGGACUUUAUUGGACUCUCUGAGACCAUAAAGCAAGAUUUCACAAAAAAUAAAUUGCAUAAUUUGUGUGGAGGGAGGAAUUUUCAAUGGAGUUGGAAUCCACCCAGAGGAAUGUCAGGGGGAUCCUGAUGGGGGUUAAUAAAGAUGUGUUUAAUGUAGAAAAUAUUGAAAAAGGACAAUAUUUCUUGAGAAUGUUAAUAUUUGAUAAAAAUAUCAAAAUGCACUAGAAUUUAGUCACUGUAUAUGGGGAUGCACAGAAGGAGGGAAAAGCAAGUUUCCUGGCUGAAUUGGCAAGAUUAUAUCAUGAUAAUCCUCUGCCUUGCUUGGUUGGGGGAGAUUUUAACAUCAUUAGAAGUGGGAAGGAGAAGAACAAACCUAUGCUUAAUGAACAAUGGUCCUUCAUGUUCAAUGCCAUUAUUGAACAAGCAGGGCUUAGGGAACUACCCCUGAAUGGGAGAAAAUACACUUGGGCUAAUAAUCAGGAGGAUCCUACUUUUGAAAAGCUAGAUAGAGUGCUGAUGUGCCCAGCUUGGGAGGAAAAAUACCCACUCACCAUACUGCAAGCUUUUGCUAGAGAGGUUUCUGAUCAUACCCCUUUGUUCCUGGACACAGGGAAAACUCAUGCUCAUAAAUAUAUUUUUAGAUAUGAAAAUGCUUGGUUGCUGAGAGAAGGCUUUAGAGAGUUGGUAUAUAAAACCUGGAAUGAGAGAUACUUAGGGGAUGUUCUGGAUAGAUGGCAAUCAAGGUUGAGGAAAUUGAGGCAAAAAGCUAAGGGAUGGAAUAAAAAUAUUGAUGCCUGGUACAGAAAAAUAAAAAUGGAAAUAAUAAAGGAGCUUGAUGAUUUAGAUAAGAGAGCUGAGAUCAUGGGGUUGAGUGCGGUGGAUAGAAGUGAACAGAAAGAGCUUAGAGCCCAACUGAAAAGAGUAAUGAUGCAAGAAGAGAUGAAAUGGUUGCAAAGAUAUAAAGAUUCAGAGAUUAAAGAUGGAGACAGAAAUACUAGAUAUUAUCAUGCUAAGGUAAAUGGGAGAAGAAGAAAGAACAAAAUUGUUUCCCUUGAACAGGAGGAAGGGAUUAUAGAAGGAGAUGAUAAGUUGAUGGAAUAUAUCACCAAAUUCUAUAAAGAAUUAUUUGGACAUCCUGAAGAAUCUAGUAUCUCAUUAAUAGAGAUGGAGAUGGAUAAAAUCAAUGAACAAGAAAGAGAGGAGCUCUUGACACCUUUCUCCUUAAGUGAAAUUCAUCAAGUGGUAUUUGGGAUGAAGAGGAAUAAAAGCCCUGGCCCUGAUGGAUUCCCUGCUGACUUCUACCAAGAUUUUUGGGAAGUGGUCAAGUGGGAUCUAAAAAACCUAGUUGAUAGUUUUGCUAAAGGGGAAAUUAAUAUUGCUAGACUCAACUAUGGCAUAAUUACUUUGAUCCCAAAAAAUAAUGAUGCUAAACAAAUUCAGAAGUUUAGGCCCAUUUGCCUGCUGAAUGUUAGCUUUAAAAUCAUCAGUAAGAUUCUGAUGAACAGGCUGGCUAAGUGUGUGGCCCCUGUGAUUUCUAAAACCCAAACUGCCUUCAUUAAGGGCAGGUAUAUUAUGGAAGGGAUUGUGAUUUUACAUGAGGCUCUAAAUUCCUUUCAUAAGAAUAAAGAAGAUGCUCUAGUUUUUAAAAUAGAUUUUGAGAAAGCAUAUGACAAAAUUAAGUGGCCCUUUGUUAUACAAAUGUUGAAAAUGAAGGGAUUUCCUGACAAAUGGUGUGACUGGGUGAUGGAAACUAUGAGAGGGGGACAUGUUGGAAUUAGAGUGAAUGAUGAAAUUGGCCCAUACUUUAAAACCUUCAAAGGAUUGAGGCAAGGAGAUGCCAUGUCACCUCUGCUGUUUGACAUUGCUGCUGAUGCCCUAGCCUUUAUAAUGAGUAAUGCCCUGAAACAUGACUUGGUUAAAGGGGUAUUAAAAAGUGAUAGAGGGAAGGGGAUUAAUAUAUUACAAUAUGCUGAUGAUACCAUAUUCCUGAUAAAGGAUGAGAUAGAAAGUGUUAAAAACCUUAAACUCAUACUAGGAGCUUUUGAGCAAAUGUCUGGGCUUAAAAUAAACUUUCAUAAAAGUGAACUGCUGUUGUUUGGCAAAGCCAGGGAAAAACAAAUGAUCUACCAAGAAAUACUAACAUGUAAGAUGGGGGAUUUGCCCAUAAAAUACCUGGGGAUGCCUGUAUCUGAGAACAGAAUCAGGAACUCUCAUUGGGGAUGUGUGACUGACAAAAUUGAAAAAAGAUGUGGGUGUUGGCAGGGGAAGUUACUGGGUUCCAUUGCAGGGAGAAUAACUUUGGUGCAAGCCUGCCUAACUAAUAUACCUUUGUUUAUGAUGUCCUUUUAUGCUGUGCCUAAAGGGAUUAUAAAGAAAGCUGAUUUCUUCAGAUCCAGGCUGAUAUGGCAAGAGGAUGAGAAUAUAAAAAAAUACCACUUAGUGAAUUGGAAAGAUUGUUGUUUGCCCAAAGAAAUGGGGGGCUUGGGGAUAUUGAAUUUGGAAAUAAUGAAUAUUGCACUUCUAGCUAAAUGGUUUUGGAAAAUGGAAAAUGAAAAAGGUCUAUGGCAGGAUAUUUUGGAAGACAAAUAUAGAAAAGGGGGGGUGUUUGGCUUUAAUAUGUAAAAAGCCAGGGGACUCACAAUUCUGGGUUAGUCUUCUAAAAAUCAAAGAAAUCUUUUAUAAAUUUGUAAAGAAAAAGGUGGGGGAUGGGAGAAACACUAGGUUUUGGGAAUAUUCAUGGGUUGAUGAUAAACCUUUGAGGGAGGCUUACCCUAGACUAUAUGAUAUAUCCUUUGACCACAAUAUUACUGUGGAGGAGGCCAUACAGAAAGGUUGGCAUGGAUUUAGAUUUAGAAGAACCCUGCAUGGAGAGACUGUGGAACUUUGGAAUAGUCUCAAAAAAAGAUGUGAGGAAAUUCAAAUGCAAGGAGGGGAGGACAAAAUCCUCUGGACCCUCACUGCUGAUCAUAAAUUCUCUGUGGGAUCCUUAUAUAGGAAAUUGAUAGCUGUUGGGAUAAAAUUCCCACAGAAAUACUUAUGGAAGAUUAAAGUGCCUACGAAACUGAAAGUGUUUUUAUGGUUGAUCAAUAAAAAGAGCAUCCUGACUAGAGAUGUAUUUCUUAAAAAAGGUUGGAAAGGUGAGAAAAGAUGUGUUUUAUGUGGGAAAGAUGAAUCAAUUGAUCAUCUAUUCUUCUCUUGCUCGGUUGCUUCAUUGUUAUGGAGUUUGGUCAGAUGUGUGUGUGGUUUUAAAACUGUGCCAUCUAGUGUGAAAGAUUGUUUUGGAGACUGGAUUAGAAAAUUUAACAAAGAUAAUAAGAAACUGGUGCCGGUGGGGAUUUCAGCCCUGCUUUGGUCAAUUUGGAAAAGCAGAAAUGCAAUUAUCUUUGAGAAUAAAAGGAUAAAUGAUCCUUUAUAUGUUGUCAAGCUAAUGUGCAGGUGGUUAAUUAACUGGGCUAUCUUGCAGAUAAAGGAGUCGCCAAGAAAAACGCUGGAGCUGGGAGCAAGGGUGCUAGAACAGGCAGCAAAUGAAGUGUUCACAGCCAAGCAAGGGUGGAGGAUCAAUGUUGCUAGAUUGAAAUGAAGAAAAUCUCUCCUGCGGGGGGUGAACCUAAUGUUUGGUGCUCCUGUAGAUGAUCCUUGGCUCCUUUUUUGCUACUUUUGCUUCUGUGUUGAUGUAAUGGCUCUCAGGGUAGUUUGAACUCGGUCUGGCGGUUAGCUAUUUGAUCCUAUGGAGUCCGGUUGGUUUUUUUCGUUUCAUUUACUUUCAAACUCUUUUGUAGAACUGUGUGGUUUUCAGUAAUGAAAAUCGGAAGGGGCAAGCCCUUCUUUGAUAAAAAAAAGGCUUUGACAAGUACAUAAAUGAAGAU
rnacentral:lncRNA from 1 species